rnacentral:rRNA from 1 species
UACGUAGGGUGCGAGCGUUGUCCGGAAUUAUUGGGCGUAAAGGGCUCGUAGGCGGUCUGUCACGUCGGGAGUGAAAACUCAGGGCUUAACCCUGAGCCUGCUUCCGAUACGGGCAGACUAGAGGUAUGCAGGGGAGAACGAAUUCCUGGUGUAGCGGUGAAAUGCGCAGAUAUCAGGAGGAACACCGGUGGCGAAGGCGGUUCUCUGGGCAUUACCUGACGCUGGG